CCGCAAGGUNGAAACUCUAAGGAAUUGACGGGGGCCCACACNAGCGGUGGAGCAUGUGGUUUAAUUCGAAGCAACGCGAAGAACCUUACCAGGUCNNGACAUCCCUCUGACCGCUCUAGAGAUAGAGUUUUCCUUCGGGACAGAGGUGACAGGUGGUGCAUGGUUGUCGUCAGCUCGUGUCGUGAGAUGUUGGGUUAAGUCCCGCAACGAGCGCAACCUNUAUUGUUAGUUGCCAUCAUUGAGUUGGGCACUCUAGCGAGACUGCCGGUAAUAAACCGGAGGAAGGUGGGGAUGACGUCAAAUCAUCAUGCCCCUUAUGACCUGGGCUACACACGUGCUACAAUGGCUGGUACAACGAGUCGCAAGCCGGUGACGGCAAGCU
rnacentral:rRNA from 1 species